rnacentral:rRNA from 1 species
UGGGGAAUUUUGGACAAUGGGCGAAAGACUGAUCCAGCAAUGCCGCGUGUGUGAAGAAGGCCUUCGGGUUGUAAAGCACUUUUGUCCGGAAAGAAAUCCUUGGCUCUAAUACAGUCGGGGGGAUGACGGUACCGGAAGAAUAAGCACCGGCUAACUACGUGCCAGCAGCCGCGGUAAUACGUAGGGUGCAAGCGUUAAUCGGAAUUACUGGGCGUAAAGCGUGCGCAGGCGGUUUGCUAAGACCGAUGUGAAAUCCCCGGGUCUCAACCUGGGAACUGCAUUGGUGACUGGCAGGCUAGAGUAUGGCAGAGGGGGGUAGAAUUCCACGUGUAGCAGUGAAAUGCGUAGAGAUGUGGAGGAAUACCGAUGGCGAAGGCAGCCCCCUGGGCCAAUACUGACGCUCAUGCACGAAAGCGUGGGGGAGCAAACAGGAUUAGAUACCCUGGUAGUCCACGCCCUAAACGAUGUCAACUAGUUGUUGGGGAUUCAUUUCCUUAGUAACGUAGCUAACGCGUGAAGUUGACCGCCUGGGGAGUACGGUCGCAAGAUUAAAACUCAAAGGAAUUGACGGGGUCAUAGCUG